CAGCGAAAUACUGCACAAAAAUCCGUAACCGAGUCAGAAUGUAAACGAAUAGAAUACAGUUAAAUCCUUUGUACAUAAAUAUGUAAAUGGAUCAGAUGAUCGAAGAUUUAAAUGCAUGUUCCAUGCAACUCUGGGAUUGGAUCGCAUUCUUCCACGAUGCUUUGAUCCAAGACUUUGUACACCGUCUAAAUCCAGGAAUGUCAGGAAUUUCCAGAAAAAUAUGAAUAAAACAUCCCGCCGUUCGAUUUCAAAUAUGUUUCGUAAUAGUGCAUUUAUCUGAACGUGGUUUGGAGUAUUGAGAUUUUUGAUAUGAUUGGUCAACUUCAGAGAAUAGACGUGAGGUUUUGGUUUCGAUUUCUAGAACUUCCUACCUUAACGUGGCCGCCUACUGUGAAUGACGUCAUGAAAAACAAUACCCUGACAAAAAUAAACUAAGAAACCUAUUAAAGGCAUUAUUUAGUAAACUAAAGAGAAGAUAUUGAAUUAUAGCUCUAAGGACUGUAGGCAUUAGGACCCAUUAUUUAUAGCCUUUGGGAUUUUUCUGUUUGUCUCAGAUGUUUUUUUAUCUAUAACUGAAUGGCAGUUAGAGCUGUCCACAUGCCUGGUGUCACCUGGUGAGCUGGUCCACAUGAUGGAUUGUAUAAGCAAUAUACAAUCCAUGAACAGUAGCAACACAAUUCAAAAUUUAAUUACAAAGCAUGGUGCAUGGUACUGCCCCGUCCUGAGAUAUUCAAUUUUAAGUUCAAGUUACUAUUACAUUGGUUUUAAUACCUUCAAUCCGACAUACGCAUGCUGGAAAAAUGUUAUUUGGCGGUAGGAAUAAAUAUUAUUGUGUAUCCAA